rnacentral:rRNA from 1 species
GACAGAGGGUGCAAACGUUGUUCGGAAUUACUGGGCGUAAAGCGCGUGUAGGCUGCUUGGAAAGUCGGAAGUGAAAGCCCUGGGCUCAACCUAGGAAGUGCAUUCGAAACUUCUGAGCUUGAGUGUCGGAGAGGAAGGCGGAAUUCUCGGUGUAGAGGUGAAAUUCGUAGAUAUCGAGAGGAACACCUGUGGCGAAGGCGGCCUUCUGGACGACAACUGACGCUGAGACGCGAAAGCGUGGGGAGCAAACAGG